GAUUAAGUUAUUAAGGGCGCACGGUGGAUGCCUUGGCACUAGAAGCCGAUGAAGGACGUUACUAACGACGAUAUGCUUUGGGGAGCUGUAAGUAAGCUUUGAUCCAGAGAUUUCCGAAUGGGGAAACCCAGCAUGAGUUAUGUCAUGUUAUCGAUAUGUGAAUACAUAGCAUAUCAGAAGGCACACCCGGAGAACUGAAACAUCUUAGUACCCGGAGGAAGAGAAAGAAAAUUCGAUUCCCUUAGUAGCGGCGAGCGAAACGGGAAGAGCCCAAACCAACAAGCUUGCUUGUUGGGGUUGUAGGACACUCUAUACGGAGUUACAAAGGACGACAUUAGACGAAUCAUCUGGAAAGAUGAAUCAAAGAAGGUAAUAAUCCUGUAGUCGAAAAUGUUGUCUCUCUUGAGUGGAUCCUGAGUACGACGGAGCACGUGAAAUUCCGUCGGAAUCUGGGAGGACCAUCUCCUAAGGCUAAAUACUCUCUAGUGACCGAUAGUGAACCAGUACCGUGAGGGAAAGGUGAAAAGCACCCCGGAAGGGGAGUGAAAUAGAACCUGAAACCGUGUGCUUACAAGUAGUCAGAGCCCGUUAAUGGGUGAUGGCGUGCCUUUUGUAGAAUGAACCGGCGAGUUACGAUUUGAUGCAAGGUUAAGCAGUAAAUGUGGAGCCGUAGCGAAAGCGAGUCUGAAUAGGGCGUUUAGUAUUUGGUCGUAGACCCGAAACCAGGUGAUCUACCCUUGGUCAGGUUGAAGUUCAGGUAACACUGAAUGGAGGACCGAACCGACUUACGUUGAAAAGUGAGCGGAUGAACUGAGGGUAGCGGAGAAAUUCCAAUCGAACCUGGAGAUAGCUGGUUCUCUCCGAAAUAGCUUUAGGGCUAGCCUCAAGUGAUGAUUAUUGGAGGUAGAGCACUGUUUGGACGAGGGGCCCCUCUCGGGUUACCGAAUUCAGACAAACUCCGAAUGCCAAUUAAUUUAACUUGGGAGUCAGAACAUGGGUGAUAAGGUCCGUGUUCGAAAGGGAAACAGCCCAGACCACCAGCUAAGGUCCCAAAAUAUAUGUUAAGUGGAAAAGGAUGUGGCGUUGCCCAGACAACUAGGAUGUUGGCUUAGAAGCAGCCAUCAUUUAAAGAGUGCGUAAUAGCUCACUAGUCGAGUGACACUGCGCCGAAAAUGUACCGGGGCUAAACAUAUUACCGAAGCUGUGGAUUGUCCUUUGGACAAUGGUAGGAGAGCGUUCUAAGGGCGUUGAAGCAUGAUCGUAAGGACAUGUGGAGCGCUUAGAAGUGAGAAUGCCGGUGUGAGUAGCGAAAGACGGGUGAGAAUCCCGUCCACCGAUUGACUAAGGUUUCCAGAGGAAGGCUCGUCCGCUCUGGGUUAGUCGGGUCCUAAGCUGAGGCCGACAGGCGUAGGCGAUGGAUAACAGGUUGAUAUUCCUGUACCACCUAUAAUCGUUUUAAUCGAUGGGGGGACGCAGUAGGAUAGGCGAAGCGUGCGAUUGGAUUGCACGUCUAAGCAGUAAGGCUGAGUAUUAGGCAAAUCCGGUACUCGUUAAGGCUGAGCUGUGAUGGGGAGAAGACAUUGUGUCUUCGAGUCGUUGAUUUCACACUGCCGAGAAAAGCCUCUAGAUAGAAAAUAGGUGCCCGUACCGCAAACCGACACAGGUAGUCAAGAUGAGAAUUCUAAGGUGAGCGAGCGAACUCUCGUUAAGGAACUCGGCAAAAUGACCCCGUAACUUCGGGAGAAGGGGUGCUCUUUAGGGUUAACGCCCAGAAGAGCCGCAGUGAAUAGGCCCAAGCGACUGUUUAUCAAAAACACAGGUCUCUGCUAAACCGUAAGGUGAUGUAUAGGGGCUGACGCCUGCCCGGUGCUGGAAGGUUAAGAGGAGUGGUUAGCUU
rnacentral:rRNA from 1 species